AGCGAACGCUGGCGGCAGGCCUAACACAUGCAAGUCGAACGGAUCCUUCGGGAUUAGUGGCGGACGGGUGAGUAACACGUGGGAACGUGCCCUUUGGUUCGGAACAACUCAGGGAAACUUGAGCUAAUACCGGAUGUGCCCUUCGGGGGAAAGAUUUAUCGCCAUUGGAGCGGCCCGCGUCUGAUUAGCUAGUUGGUGGGGUAAAGGCUCACCAAGGCGACGAUCAGUAGCUGGUCUGAGAGGAUGAGCAGCCACGUUGGUACUGAGAAACGGCCCCAACUUCUACGGGAGGCAGCAGUGGGGAAUCUUGCGCAAUUGGCGAAAGCCUGACGCAGCCAUGCCGCGUGAAUGAUGAAGGGCUUAGGAUUGGAAAAUUAUUUCACCGGGGACGAUAAUGACGGUACCCGGAGAAGAAGCCCCGGCUAACUUUGUGCCAGCCGCCGUCGUAAAAC
rnacentral:rRNA from 1 species